rfam:Rattus norvegicus chromosome 5, whole genome shotgun sequence.
GGGGAUUUAGCUCAGUGGUAGAGCGUUUACCUAGCAAGCACAAGGCCCUGGGUUCGGUCCCCAGCUCCA